GUCAAGCACUAUCCCUCCUAUUUAUACUUCACCUUUGUUCCAGAGUUUUUCAUAGGUUUUCAAAAUAAAACUCAGAGUUCCCAGCAAUGAUUCUCUCAAGUCUCUCUAUAUGUGGUAUUUGUGGAUCCUUACCAUGAUAUCACUUACCUAUAGCUAAUGAAAUAUUUAAGUGGAGCUCAUAGGAGUGAAAAACAGCUCAUACAUAUGUUGUCUAAUCGAGCCAUGGAUCCAAAGGAACUCAGCAUAUAAUUAAAUCAAGACGUGCAUGUGUGAUGGAGUAAAUGAUAGUGAUGGUGAAAAUGUAUAAGUAAUAAUAAAACUUGGUUCUCAUUGCUCCUUAUAUUGCUAUCUCUCCUCUUCUUUGAUCUUUGCUUUGGGAGAACAUGGGCUAUCUCUUUUUUUUUCUUCAGGUGGGUAGUAGAUACCCCUAAUUCUACUGUCGGACACUUGUCCAUUUUUUCCGCUCAAGUGGGCAUCUUUGUACCCCUAAUUCUACUUCGGACACUUGUCCAUUUUUACCUCUCGUCUCACUCUUUUUCUUUCUUUUCCGAGGUUCCGGGCACUUGCCCCUUUUUAUUUCCUCGCAUAUUUUUUUUACAUAACCCAUGCCUCUUCUGCAUUAAAUCUUUUUAUAGAGAGAGAAUAACACUAUUCGGGAUAGUGAGUGAUAAUAUUUUUUAGCAAUUUUAAUGAUUGAUGAUGAAUGCUGUGGUAGAUGUGUGCAAGUGAAUAUCUUAAUUUAACCACAUGAAAAGCUCCUAAGGGUCUACACAGCUCGAUCAAACUCAAUGUGAAUAUAGUAAAAGAUGUUAUAGCAAGUAUGGCUGUGGUAGGUAGUUUGUUAUGCUAGGAACUCAUCAUGUGAUUUGUAAGUUUUCAAAAUAAACCUCCAGAACUUAGUGUAGUAGGAACAAGACAAACAGUAGCUCAACUUUAUAUCAUGCCUUUCUCUUACCUAGACUUUAGUUUUAUUUUUCUCAUAGAUAGUGAUCUUAGUUUUAGUAAUUCCUGGAAGAACUCUAAUAUAAAAGCUAGGUACUUGUAAGUAAGCAAACAGAGCAACUGUUCAUCAUUUCCAUCAUGCAUAUUUUUGGUUUUUUAUUUUGUUUUCAUGUUUAUAAAGUGCAGUAAAUUAAAGCAAGAAAAUAUUUAUUUGGUUUUCUAAGUUUUUCCUUUUAAGAUAAAUUAAAUACUAAGACAGAAUAGAAUAAAUAAGAAGAGCAAAUAAAAACUUACUUGAUAAAUUUGGGAGGAACUCCCCCAAGCUGGAUGUUGACGUCGGUCUUACCCGAUGUUCCAGAACCGCAUCAUGGUUGUGAUGUUGUCGUUCAUUGUUGUUGUAUCUUGUCUCAACUCUUGUACUGCAGCAGCAUGGUACUGGUUCCAUUUUUGUUGCUCUUCCAGGAGUCUUCCAUGUUCUGCUUGCGUGUUCUGAAUGUCGAGGAGGGUGUUGUCGGUACGAGUGAAGAAAGCACCGGCCUCUUGAUUGUAGUCAUUCGUGAAGGCGUAGGAGGCGUCGGAGUAUCGUCCUACAUCAAAUUGGGGUGGAGGCCUGGAUCCUGAAGCUCCAUAUGGAUCAGUGGAGUACCUGCCCGUAUGAAAAGGCAGGUUUGUCCACUGGUGAUCUUGGCUCUCCGGCCAUGUCUCCUCCGUUGGCUCUUGUGGUUGCGCAUGACGAGCCCAUGGGUCUCGAAGGACUCGUGGAUUGUAAUCGCAAUAAUGCAGGUGCGCUGCUUCUUCUGGUCCAGGGUCAGCUCCAUACCAAGUGCGUUCUCGGUGAGUGGUUAUCCUUUCAGAUGCCACUCGCUGUGGAGUUCUCUAGUUCACUGGUGUUGCUGCAAUCUCAACCAAAAAGUUUUGCACAGCGUAGAGGCCAAGGUUCGGGUUAGGUAACCGAAUCUUGCCUUUAUCAUCAUACAGCAUGUACAUUAUAUUUCCCUCUUUCUUUAACAUCCGAGCUUGUCUAAAUGUGUCAUAGCCAUGAUAAAUUCUUAAUUCUUCUAUGAAAUCCAACGAUGAGUUUUCUAGUAAGUGAAGAUUAGUGGCUAGACGAGUGAUAAGUGAAGUACAUCCUACUGGUCCCUGAAGACUAGGUAUACUAAGCCAAUG
rnacentral:lncRNA from 1 species